rnacentral:rRNA from 1 species
UACGUAGGGGGGCAAGCGUUGUCCGGAAUCAUUGGGCGUAAAGAGCGUGUAGGCGGCUCGGUAAGUCCGCUGUAAAAGUCCAGGGCUCAACCCUGGAAUGCCGGUGGAAACUGUCGAGCUAGAGUCCGGAAGAGGCGAGUGGAAUUCCUGGUGUAGCGGUGAAAUGCGCAGAUAUCAGGAGGAACACCAAUGGCGAAGGCAGCUCGCUGGGACGGUACUGACGCUGAGACGCGAAAGCGUGGGGAGCAAACAGG